UUGGAGGGCAAGUCUGGUGCCAGCAGCCGCGGUAAUUCCAGCUCCAAUAGCGUAUAUUAAAGUUGUUGCAGUUAAAAAGCUCGUAGUUGAACUUCGGGGUCUACCCAUUGGUCAGGCUUAAUUGUCCGUACUGGUGAGAUGGAUCUCUACCUUCUGAGGAACUUUCAUGCCAUUUAUUUGGUGUGAUGGGAAAUCAGGACUGUUACUUUGAAAAAAUUAGAGUGUUUAAAGCAGACUAUCGUCUGAAUACAUUAGCAUGGAAUAAUGAAAUAGGACGGACUGAUUCUAUUUCGUUGGUUUCUAGGAUCACCGUAAUGAUUAAUAGGGAUAGUUGGGGGCAUUAGUAUUCAAUUGUCAGAGGUGAAAUUCUUGGAUUUAUUGAAGACUAACUACUGCGAAAGCAUUUGCCAAGGAUGUUUUCAUUAAUCAAGAACGAAAGUUAGGGGAUCGAAGACGAUCAGAUACCGUCGUAGUCUUAACCAUAAACUAUGCCGACUAGGGAUCGGACGAAGUUAAUUUUAUAAUGACGCGUUCGGCGCCUUACGGGAAAC
rnacentral:rRNA from 1 species